AUUGAGAAUUUGGCUCAAAUAAACUCACAAGAAUUACGUACAGGUUUGAAUGUUGUUAUGUUAACAUAACUACCAGGCUCUUUUCUAGGUGCUGGGG